UUAGAACUGCCCAGCCUGGUUCUGAACCCUGGUUCAGCCACUCACUGCAUGACAUUGGAUGCCAUGAGAGGACGACUUGAGAUUUUUAUAUGAAUCCAAAGAUGGAAUUUACAAAAGGUUGAGAAGCAUUUUUCUACCGAGAGAAACGGAUUAAAAAAAAAUCAAGAAUGACAAUACAUGCGAGUGAUUUUUCUGCGCGAUUGUGACCACACGCACGAGUUCGGCCAGGAUCGGAAACAGAUGGCAGUGAGCAGGCGCAGAGCGUACGGAGAUCACGCGAUGCAGCGCCCACGGGAUGGAUCCACAGCCCUUCUGGGACUUGGUGGCUCUGAAGAACGAUUCCCAUAAGGAGCCCUCACCCCCUCUCAGUCGCCUGCAGCCCGUCUGCCUCUCUGCCGAGAGCACCACAAAUGGGAGGAGGCCAUGACUCUCUGGGGGCGAUGCCGGAUAUUGGGGAGGCAGGAAGGCAGGAGGCCCGUUCAUGCAAUCAGGGGAGGCCGAGGCCACCUUCGCGAUGGAAUGGAACACCUGUGCCUCUUGGCGUCUUGCCUCCCUGGAUGGGAGAACCAAGAGAGCCCUGUGCGUGGUGAUUAGUGUGAAUCACCCUCCUGCCUAGACACCAGCCGUAGCGGUGCCUUCAUGUCGCAUCUCGACCUGGCUCACUCUCCACCUCUCAGGAAUGUCAGUCUAUCAACACCCUCACUGGCCCUGAUUUAGUUCAGAGCCUCAUCAAGUCGCUCCUGGAUCAUUUGCUAUGGAUUUUCUAAUUGGCCUCUCUGCCUCCAAUCUUGCUGCAGCUAAUUCAUGUAGCAGCUGGGGCAAUACAAACCCGACUGUGGGACUUCCCUGCCUAAACCUUUCCCUGGCUCCCCCAAGAGACUCAGUCAGAAUGGACCACAACCGUUGUUGCUUUCUUAUCAGUGUAAUUAUUUGUUGAAUGCUUCUUUGCCUGCCAGUUUACUGCGGGAUGCGUGGCACCUGGCACAGUGCCAGGGGCUUGGUAAAUUUUUGGUGACUGAAUGAAAAUGGCUUCUGUGAGCGCCUAGGCAGACUCCCCUACCCACAGAGCAUUAUACACAUGUACUCAUAUAUUCUUCCCUUAGCAAAAUAUUAAUGCAUUAGUCAAUAUUUAUCACCUACUCUAGGCCUGUAUAGACAAAGAACACAUCCCAAGAAACACGCUUUGGGCCAAUAGUGCAGUCUGGACAUACUGAAGUCCUGAGGAAGCACCUCACACAGUAAUGGUCUGAUAAACAGAGACUAUUAUAUUUUGUUGUUACUUUUUGUAGAUGCUCAACCUCGAGGCUGCAUGGGUCUUAAACCUUACUGAACAGACUAAUUUUAUAGAAGGGGAAACGGAACCCGGGAGAGGUUAUGUGACUUCCUGGAUGACCAGUACUCAGUUACGGGCAGGGUAGAGAUGCAAAUCAGGGCUUCUAGUGUGAAGCUCUUGUACUGCGUCGGGCAGGAGCCCCAGGUUAUUUGGGAAAUAAGCAAAAUCCCUCCAUGGCACCUCCUUUAAUUCCAAUUCACUUUUAUAGCUGCCUGCAUUCAUUUCCCAUUUUUAUGUUAUUUGGGCGCAAGGCCUCCAUGGAGAACCCUGUUCAUGAGAAGCAGCCUGGGACAAAAACAAGGAGAGGCAGCCCUGGAGUCAGGAAGACCUAGGCUCAAAUCCAGGCUCUACUAUUGCCUUGCUUUAUGAGCUUGAGCAAUUCACUUAGCUCUCUGAGCCUCAGUUUCUUCAUGAUGACCUCAGAGUGUUGUUAUGUGGAUUGGAUGAGAAAACAUACGAAAGGCUCUUGCCAUCUCAUAGAAGCUUAGUAAAUAUCCAAUGCCUUUUCCUUCUCUCUCUUUUUGUACCCCAUUUGGCCCAUGUUGCUCUAGAAUUUUCAAGGGUAUCAUCUUUUGGUGGCUCCACACACUGGUUCCAGAGACAUAUGUUCCCCCCUCUGACAUCUUCCCUGUGUGUUUUUAUUUGGCACUAUGGGCACCACAGUGAUAUGGAAGAAAGUCAUGCUCUCAAGUUUAGUCUCUAGUGCAUAAGUCAAUGAGUACAGAGAAAGUCACAAUAGAAUCUGAUCAAUGCUAUGAUAGAUGUAAAUAUGAGGUGAUUUGAGGGAACAGAAAAGGGGAAUGAAAACCUAACUGUGGUGCCAGGAAGACUUGUUGGAGGAAAUGACAUCUGAGAGAGGCCUGGAGCAGAAAUCUGAGAGAGUAGUUCAAGUGAAAUGAAGACCUACUGUGCGCUAGGCAUCAUUGUAGGCAUUAAGGUUACAGCAGUGAUAGCAAACCGAAGUUCUUUCUCUAAGAAGCUUUCAUUAUAGAAGGGAGAUAAUGACAGGCAGAGGGAACACCAUGUACAAAGAACUACUAAAGGGCAAACUACAUUUCAAAUCCUCUUAGCUUGACCUGAAUCUCUUGUAUUUUUCUCUUAACUAUCCUGACUGGUACUGACACUUGGGAGAUUUUGUCUUCAGCCAUGAAAAGAAAACAAAUAGUUUUUUUCUUCCUCAAAAGAAUCCCACUCGUAUUUGUUCCAUCAUUCACAGCCUGCCUGAGAUAUUACUGCUAAUCUCUUUGACAUGGCACAAGGCUAAGGCUGUCAAGUGUUCACAAUUCCUGAAAGAGAAACACUGGGAAAGGAGUCAAAGUGGAAAGGGGUGACCCAUGGUAGAGGAGAAAAGCGCUAAUAGUGGGAAAAGAAAAAUGGGGAAGAAACUUUAGAAUGGAUAAAUCACUCCCUCUGAAAACCGGAUGUGAAGCCCAUUUCCAAAUUAUGCUCUUGGUUUAGAGGUUUAAAACAUUUGGUUAAAAAUGACCAGUAAGUCAGUGUUUCUCAAGCUUGUGAAGGCAAGACUCUAACCUACUAACUUUGGAACUCUGUAAUGGCACCUGGUGGAAGGUAGGUGCUCAAUCAAUGUGUUAAGUUAAAUUUAGGUUUGUUCUCAGUAGCUCAGCCCUCUGUGAGUAGGCUGCUGGUUUCUGUUGACAUUAGAAUAACAUUCCUUUGAAAAUAGUUGUGAUCUUUGGGAGGAAGGACUGUGACCGAUUUACAUUUUGUCCUUUCUUUUA